rnacentral:rRNA from 1 species
UACAGAGGGUGCAAGCGUUAAUCGGAAUUACUGGGCGUAAAGCGCGCGUAGGUGGUUCGUUAAGUUGGAUGUGAAAUCCCCGGGCUCAACCUGGGAACUGCAUUCAAAACUAACGAGCUAGAGUAUGGUAGAGGGUGGUGGAAUUUCCUGUGUAGCGGUGAAAUGCGUAGAUAUAGGAAGGAACACCAGUGGCGAAGGCGACCACCUGGACUGAUACUGACACUGAGGUGCGAAAGCGUGGGGAGCAAACAGG